UAUCUAUGAUUAUAUGUAGUACGCUUAAUCUGGAUUGUUGUAUAUGAUUUAUGCAAUUAAUAUAAUCUUUUAUUUAAAUUUGUUCUUAAUGCUUUGCUGAAAAUGUAGUGUGCCGUGUUGGAACAAAAUGUGUUUUACAUUGUUACCUUAAGUUUUGAUAAUAACAAUGUAUUAAAAGUUCAAUUGGAUAUGCUAAUAUUUGUUCAAGUGUGCAAGACCAAAAACUAAAAUUUAUAAGUCUUUAAACAUGGUAUUGGUUC
rnacentral:lncRNA from 1 species